rnacentral:rRNA from 1 species
GAACUUAAGCAUAUCAUAAGCGGAGGAAAGAACCAACAGGGAUUGCUCAGUAACGGCGAGUGAAGCGGCAACAGCUCAAAUUGAAAUCUGGGUCUUUCAGGCUCCGAGUUGUAAUUUGUAGAAGAUGCUUCGGGUGUGGCUCCGGUCUAAGUUCCUUGGAACAGGACGUCAUAGAGGGUGAGAAUCCCGUACGUGACUGGUUGCCUUCGCCCAUGUGAAGCUCUUUCGACGAGUCGAGUUGUUUGGGAAUGCAGCUCAAAAUGGGUGGUAAAUUUCAUCUAAAGCUAAAUAUUGGCCAGAGACCGAUAGCGCACAAGUAGAGUGAUCGAAAGAUGAAAAGCACUUUGGAAAGAGAGUUAAACGGUACGUGAAAUUGUUGAAAGGGAAGCGCUUGCAACCAGACUUGCACGCUGCUGAUCAUCCGGGGUUCUCCCCGGUGCACUCGGUGGUGUUCAGGCCAGCAUCGGUUUGGGUGGUUGGAUAAAGGCCUUGGGAAUGUAGCUUCUUUCGGGGAGUGUUAUAGCCCUCGGUGCAAUGCAGCCUACCCGGACCGAGGACCGCGCUUCGGCUAGGAUGCUGGCGUAAUGGUUGUAAGCGACCCGUCUUGAAACACGGACCAAGGAGUCUAACAUCUAUGCGAGUGUUUGGGUGUCAAACCCAUACGCGUAAUGAAAGUGAACGGAGGUGAGAACCCUUAAGGGUGCAUCAUCGACCGAUCCUGAUGUCUUCGGAUGGAUUUGAGUAAGAGCAUAGCUGUUGGGACCCGAAA